GAUGAACGCUGGCGGCGUGCCUAAUACAUGCAAGUCGAGCGAACAGACGAGGAGCUUGCUCCUCUGACGUUAGCGGCGGACGGGUGAGUAACACGUGGAUAACCUACCUAUAAGACUGGGAUAACUUCGGGAAACCGGAGCUAAUACCGGAUAAUAUAUUGAACCUCAUGGUUCAAUAGUGAAAGACGGUUUUGCUGUCACUUAUAGAUGGAUCCUCGCCGCAUUAGCUAGUUGGUAAGGUAACGGCUUACCAAGGCAACGAUGCGUAGCCGACCUGAGAGGGUGAUCGGCCACACUGGAACUGAGACACGGUCCAGACUCCUACGGGAGGCAGCAGUAGGGAAUCUUCCGCAAUGGGCGAAAGCCUGACGGAGCAACGCCGCGUGAGUGAUGAAGGUCUUCGGAUCGUAAAACUCUGUUAUUAGGGAAGAACAAAUGUGUAAGUAACUAUGCACGUCUUGACGGUACCUAAUCAGAAAGCCACGGCUAACUACGUG
rnacentral:rRNA from 1 species